GAAAUGCGUUAAGUAAUGUGAAUUGCAGAAUUCAGUGAAUCAUCGAAUCUUUGAACGCACCUUGCGCUCCUUGGUAUUCCGAGGAGCAUGCCUGUUUGAGUGUCAUGGAAUUCUCAACUCUAUUUGCUUUUGUGAAUAGAGCUUGGAUUUGGAGGUUUAUUGCUGGUACUUGUGAUCGGCUCCUCUUGAAUGCAUUAGCUCGAACCUUUGCGGAUCAGCUAUCGGUGUGAUAAUUGUCUACGCCGUUGCAGUGAAGCAUAUCAAUGGGCUCGGCUUCCAAUCGUCCUUUACUGGACAAUGACUUUGACCUUUGACCUCAAAUCAGGUAGGAUUACCCGCUGAACUUAAGC
rnacentral:misc_RNA from 1 species